GUCCGGGACCUCCGAUAAAAUUGGAAUGAUAUAGAGAAGAUUAGCAUGGCCCCUAUGCAACGAUGACACGCACAAAUCAAGAAAUGGUAUCAGAGCCA